rnacentral:rRNA from 1 species
UACGUAGGAGGCAAGCGUUGUUCGGAAUUACUGGGCGUAAAGCGCACGUAGGCGGCUUUGUAAGUUAGAGGUGAAAGCCUGGAGCUCAACUCCAGAACUGCCUUUAAGACUGCAUCGCUUGAAUCCAGGAGAGGUGAGUGGAAUUCCGAGUGUAGAGGUGAAAUUCGUAGAUAUUCGGAAGAACACCAGUGGCGAAGGCGGCUCACUGGACUGGUAUUGACGCUGAGGUGCGAAAGCGUGGGGAGCAAACAGG